UAAGGAAUAUUGGUCAAUGGACGCAAGUCUGAACCAGCCAUGCCGCGUGAAGGAUGAAGGUCCUCUGGAUUGUAAACUUCUUUUAUCUGGGACGAAAACGGGAUUUUUAUCUCAAUUGACGGUACCAGAGGAAUAAGCACCGGCUAACUCCGUGCCAGCAGCCGCGGUAAUACGGAGGGUGCGAGCGUUAUCCGGCUUUACUGGGUUUAAAGGGUGCGUAGGUGGGCUUAUAAGUCAGUGGUGAAAUCUCCGAGCUUAACUUGGAAACUGCCGUUGAUACUAUAGGUCUUGAAUUAUCUGGAGGUAAGCGGAAUAUGUCAUGUAGCGGUGAAAUGUUUAGAUAUGACAUAGAACACCAAUUGCGAAGGCAGCUUACUACAUAUAAAUUGACGCUGAGGCACGAAAGCGUGGGGAUCAAACA
rnacentral:rRNA from 1 species